rnacentral:rRNA from 1 species
GACGAACGCUGGCGGCGUGCUUAACACAUGCAAGUCGAACGAAGUGGCGAACGGGUGAGUAACGCGUAAUCAACCUGCCCUUCAGAGGGGGAUAACAGUUGGAAACGACUGCUACUCACGCAUACUGAUGGAGGGGAUUGCGUCUGAUUAGCGUGUUGGAGGGGUAACGGCCCCCCAGGGCGAUGCUCAGUAGCCGGUCUGAGAGGAUGGACGGCCAAAUUGGGACGGAGACACGGACCAGACUCCUACGGGAGGCAGCAGUGGGGAAUCUGCCGCAAGUGACGAAAGUCUGACGGCGCAACGCGGCGGGAGUGAUGACGGCCUUCGGGUUGUAAAGCUCUGUUAAUCGGGACGCGGUACCGGAAUAGAAAGCCACGGCUAACUACGUGCCAGCAGCCGCGGUAAUUC